AUCGUUCAAGAAGUUGACGCGUCUCAUCUUGCCCGUCCCGUCCGUUGUUUUUUGCACCCAUCGAUCAAGUAUUGUAUCGUGAUCGAUAACCGUUGGAACCAGAAAGGAGGAAAGCAACACCAACCUGAUCGGCAUACAAAAGAAAAUGUUAGCAGCAACAAGCUAGAGACCGUGACGCUACGCCGAAAGAAACCAAAAGAACCUGAUGCAAAACGGAAAGAGAAGAGCCAUACUAAGUACAAAAACGUACACCGGCAAUUAUUGGAGGGCCCAACGGCCAGAAGUCAUCAUUGGGACAAUUUUUCGAUUAUCAUGAUCCUUAUUUUUUUUAAAAAAUCAAUUACAAGUUCACGUACAC
rnacentral:lncRNA from 1 species